rnacentral:rRNA from 1 species
GACGAACGCUGGCGGCGUGCCUAAUACAUGCCAGUUGAGCGCUGAAGGUUGGUACUUGUACCAACUGGAUGAGCAGCGAACGGGUGAGUAACGCGUGGGGAAUCUGCCUUUGAGCGGGGGACAACAUUUGGAAACGAAUGCUAAUACCACAUAAAAACUUUAAACACAAGUUUUAAGUUUGAAAGAUGCAAUUGCAUCACUCAAAGAUGAUCCCGCGUUGUAUUAGCUAGUUGGUGAGGUAAAGGCUCACCAAGGCGAUGAUACAUAGCCGACCUGAGAGGGUGAUCGGCCACAUUGGGACUGAGACACGGCCCAAACUCCUACGGGAGGCAGCAGUAGGGAAUCUUCGGCAAUGGACGAAAGUCUGACCGAGCAACGCCGCGUGAGUGAAGAAGGUUUUCGGAUCGUAAAACUCUGUUGGUAGAGAAGAACGUUGGUGAGAGUGGAAAGCUCAUCAAGUGACGGUAACUACCCAGAAAGGGACGGCUAACUACGUG